GGGCCCGCCGCCACCGCCAGGGGGCGCCCCUCGGCCGCCGCCACCGGAGCGGGACCCCCGGGAUGAGAGACCGGGAGGGGAACGGGAUGGGAUGGACGGGACACGGAAUGGGCGGCACCGGGAGGGGAGCGGGAUGGGAUGGACGGGGAUACGGGGCCGUGUGGCACCAGGGAGUCUGCACGGAACCGGGGGAUGGAGUGGGACACGAGGCUGCGUGACACCGACACUCUGCACGGGGACAUGGGGCUGCCCAGGGAGCACGUGGGACCUGGUGACACUUUGGGGACUGGAAGGCCGCGCACGGUGGUGGGCUGGGAGAGCGGCGGCUCUGCCAGGCGGAGUCACCCGGCACGGCUCUGCUGCCACAGAACAGCUGCGUGGCCACUGGGCAGCCAGAGCGUGGUCCUGCUGUGGCUGAGGCACCGACACUGUGUGGCCACUGCAUAGCCCUGUGUGACCACUGCAUGGCCACUGUGUCACCACUGCAUGGCCUCUGUGUGACCACUGCACGGCCACUGUGUCACCACUGCAUGGCCAAGUAAAUGCCAAUCCCAUGGCCACUGAGUGACCUUUCUACAGGUAGUAAAUGAUCACCACAAGGCCACCAAGUGACCAUUCUAUGGUCACUAAAUGACCAUCACAUGGCCGCUGUGGGGCCACCACACGGUCCCCAAAUGAUCACUGCACGGUCACUGCACAGCCCAGCUCCCCUCGCUGACGGGUCACAGCAGGAGGUGCUGCAGAAUCCUGACCCAGCCCCUCCAGCCCCAGCUCCAGUUUUCCAUCCCUUGCUCCCAGAGGGUUCCCAGAGGAGCUGUGCUUCUCCAGGUCCUGCUGCCCUCAUUCCCACGGGGACCUUUGGCCUUGGUCCCGGUGGCACGGGAGCACCAGAGGAAAAUCCACCCGGCCCAGCUGCACUCCCACCUCGCCAGAGCCCGGCUCUGCACGGCUGGCAGUGCAUGGCACACACAAAUGCCAGCACCACGUGUGUUGGGGACACCUGGACACGCGGUUCCCAGCACAGGUCGGGGUGUUGUGGAUCCUCAGCGUCAGCCAGGCAGCCCAAGAGCAUUCCCGGAGUUCUGGGCUGCCAGGACAGGGCUCCUUCGGGAUCAGGCUGGGAGAGCAGGGGGGUGACCAUGGGGGUGACCACGCUCUCAGCCCGGCCACCCGUGUCACACACCCGAGUGCAAACCUCAAACCACCACAAACCCCUCCUGUGAGUGCCCAGCAGCGCCACCAGCCUGGCGAUGACCGAGCCCCUGUGACCUGCCAGGCCACCAGCGUGUCACAGGGACCUGCUGGGAGCUGUCCCCACCUCUCCUUCAUUUGGGGUGCGGCUGAAGGACAGCACCAAACACCCCCUGCCCUGGUCCCUGGUGCCCAGGAGCAGCUCCAGCGCUGUCGGGACGGGCAGGUGGCACUGUCACCUCCCAGGACAGCAGCGGGGGCAGAGCCUCUGCGUCCCCCCCGGCGGCGUUUGGGUGGCGGGGGCUGCCGCGUUCCUAUUCCACGCACGCAGCCUGUAAUUUUGGUCUAUUGAAGUCAUAAUUCACUACUGUGAAAAUAAACAUUUGUGUUAGCUCGCUUUAUUCGGCGGGGUUCGGCUGAAUGUUAAUAAUUCCCCGCCGGCGGCUUUGCACGUGGCCUGGGACGCUGGGACAAAGCCCCGGCACCCGUGGCCGUGGCCGUGGCCACCUCCUUGCAGGCUUUGGGCGAGUUCUCACCCUCCUUUGUACCCUAUCCCUGGGAUCCUCUGCAUCCUGAAGGAGACAGAAAAAAAAAAAAGAGCCACUUUCUAAUCCAGCGAUAAUGAGGAAGAUAAACGUAAAUUUUAAACAAUACCCGGAGUCCAGCACCUACUCAGCCCCUUCCCUACCCAUCCCUGCCGCGGGGUUUGUGCCCUUGUGCUGUUUUGUGGAUGCUCCCAGCACAUCAAAGACAUCCCGGCACCCACCCCUUGCCAUCACCGUGCAGGAGGACGCCUGUCCCCCGGCACCCCCGGCUGUCCCCAGGGCUGUCCCCGGAUCUGUCCCCGCUGGGUGCAAGGGGCUGCCGCUUCCCCUCGGCAUUUGCAUCUUCCCAGCCUUUAUCUUUCUCCCGGUCUCUGUAUUGCUGCAAUUACAGACACUUUAAAACACAAUGAUCUGGCUGUUAGCGUGAUGGAUGACAGAACCUUUCUGUCUGGUUUAAAUCAUUGCUGAGAGUGAGCAAACUUCCCCGGCUUAACCCUUUCCUGCCCCAAACCCGCUCCCAGCCCGGGACUGCUGUGAGCUCCAUGGCCACGCAUCCAACACACGCCUGGGUCCCGUGGAUGGGAUGAAGGGGGAGUCUGGAUUCCUACGGGAAAACAUUCCCCCAUCCCUCAGCUCCCUGCGCUCUUGGGGCUCCCGGGGUAUCUGGGGACAGGCGAUGGGAGCAGCCCUGCCCGGCAGAGCCGGUGGCCCCGCUCCGCUGCGGUGGGAAAUGAACGGCUGGAGCGGAGAUAAGCGGCUGCCAGAGCCCGAUAACCGGCUGGAGCCAUCCCAACCCCGGGCUGGCAAUCCUUCCCCCGGCAAAUCUGGAACCGGGGCAGGAUGGGGCCCCGGUGCGUUCCCACCCGUGGGAGAGGGUGGAAACUCCUGUCCUGACUCGUGACUGAUGGCGGGGUGAGCCCGGGAUGAGCCGCACACCUUGCGGUGAUCCGUGCUGCCUUUGUUGUGGGGAGGUGACAUCUGCCACCGCCGUGCGCCCUCCCCAGCGCCCAUCCGUGCCCGCCCACCCCGCAGGUGUCCCGGUCCCACGGGAGGGUGUCACCGUCACGCAUCCCCUGUGCCCGCGGUGCUGGCUCGUGUCCCCCCUCCCUGCUGGGUGUGCGCACCGAGGGCUGCGUGGAGCGGUCUGGAGGUGCCAGGGACCCGCCCCAGGGGAAGGGACACCCCAAGGCACAGCCUGGGGGAGAAAGGGAGCGCUGAGGCCUUGGCAUGCUGCGUGCCGGGAGAUAAAGCGCUCGCUGAGGGCAGAUGAAGGCAACUGGUACCAAAACCUCCCAGGAAAUGGUCACCACCAUGUGCCAUCCGUGUGCCCCUGCACAUGACCCCCGCCCCGGGGCAACGCGGUGGGUGCCCGGCUCCCAGCGCCACCAGGGCACCCUUAGAUGUCCCCUCUUGCCUCAGCAGUGUUGGGGACGCUUUUCACACCUCGUGGGUGCCCAGCCAGCAGUGAGCCGGCGCUCUCCCUGUGCCUCCCACUGGUGAUGCGCCGUCCCCUUCUCCCGGCUCUCCCGGAGCUCCCGGCAGUGCCGGGACGAGCUGAUCGCUAUUCCGGCUGCAUCCCCUCUUCACAAGCCUCAGGCUUUUUAAGAAAGCCCCCGAUGCUGAUUUAUCACACCUCGCCCCUCUCCAGGCUGGGGGCUCAGCCUGUCCCCCGUGCCACCCCUGUGCCACCCCGGGUCCUGCCUCCGCCCUCUCUCACGGGACGAUGGCUGCAGGCCCGGGCACCGAGCCGUGCCGGAGCAGGUUUCCUGUGUCACCCCCAGCGAGUCUGUCUGUCCGUCUGGGUUUCUCAGUCUCUAUCCGUUCCCUCCCGGGGAGCAGAGCACCCCUGGGUACCUCUCUGAGCUCGGUGACAAUGAGGGCUCGCAAGCUGCAGCGGCGCAGAGCCCAACACGGCUGUGGGGUCCCCGAUCCCCCUUUCCCUGGAGCAUCCCUGCAGGGACAGGGAGCUGCAGGGCUGGGAAGGGUCGCUGUGACCGUGGAUGUUCCCAUCGCCCUGGCUGCGAGCACGGAUGUGCUGGCCCAAAUCUCAGCGCCUAAAUCCAUCCGGCGCCGGCAGCGAGCACCGGGAGCCAGGCUGCAGCCCCCGGCGCUCUUCCCUUGGCAUUUCGCUUGCAGCAGGAGCCCUGGCGCUGGAUUUUCCUGCACGUUAAUCCAUCGGGGAAUGCAGCAGGGAGAUAAGGGGCUGGUGGGGAGCCAGCGAGGAAGACGCUCGCCUGCCCGCCGGCUAUCGCCCGCCGCAGCCGCAUCCGCCCGGGGACAUCUGCUCGGCAGGAAGCGCCGUGCGCCAGCCUUUCCCAGGAAAGGGGCUUCGUUUGUGCCUGGCUUCCCUCCGUGACCACUCCUGGGGGUCCCCAGACUUGGCUCACCCACCCUGCAGCCACCGGGCUGGAAAGAGCAGCCCCACGGGCUGUGGAAGCAGAUCCAGUGGCUUUGUGGCUUUCCCACAGCUUCCACACAGAAAAGGAAAAAAGCGUAUCUCGCAUUAAAAUAAAAAAUAAAAAUAAAUAAAAUCCUGUUUUCGU